rfam:Schistosoma mattheei strain Denwood, Zambia genome assembly, scaffold: SMTD_contig0011479
AUCCAGCUGACUAGUCCUAAAUAGAAUGAAACGCACAUCCUGGAU